rnacentral:rRNA from 1 species
GGCGAGUGGCGAACGGGUGAGUAAUAUAUCGGAACGUACCGAGUAAUGGGGGAUAACUAAUCGAAAGAUUAGCUAAUACCGCAUAUUCUCUGAGGAGGAAAGCAGGGGACCUUCGGGCCUUGCGUUAUUCGAGCGGCCGAUAUCUGAUUAGUUAGUUGGUGGGGUAAAGGCCUACCAAGGCGACGAUCAGUAGCGGGUCUGAGAGGAUGAUCCGCCACACUGGGACUGAGACACGGCCCAGACUCCUACGGGAGGCAGCAGUGGGGAAUUUUGGACAAUGGGCGCAAGCCUGAUCCAGCCAUGCCGCGUGUCUGAAGAAGGCCUUCGGGUUGUAAAGGACUUUUGUCAGGGAAGAAAAGGCUGUUGCUAAUAUCGACAGCUGAUGACGGUACCUGAAGAAUAAGCACCGGCUAACUACGUGCCAGCAGCCGCGGUAAUACGUAGGGUGCGAGCGUUAAUCGGAAUUACUGGGCGUAAAGCGAGCGCAGACGGUUACUUAAGCAGGAUGUGAAAUCCCCGGGCUCAACCCGGGAACUGCGUUCUGAACUGGGUAACUAGAGUGUGUCAGAGGGAGGUAGAAUUCCACGUGUAGCAGUGAAAUGCGUAGAGAUGUGGAGGAAUACCGAUGGCGAAGGCAGCCUCCUGGGAUAACACUGACGUUCAUGCUCGAAAGCGUGGGUAGCAAACAGGAUUAGAUACCCUGGUAGUCCACGCCCUAAACGAUGUCAAUUAGCUGUUGGGCAACUUGAUUGCUUAGUAGCGUAGCUAACGCGUGAAAUUGACCGCCUGGGGAGUACGGUCGCAAGAUUAAAACUCAAAGGAAUUGACGGGGACCCGCACAAGCGGUGGAUGAUGUGGAUUAAUUCGAUGCAACGCGAAGAACCUUACCUGGUCUUGACAUGUACGGAAUCCUCCAGAGACGGAGGAGUGCCUUCGGGAGCCGUAACACAGGUGCUGCAUGGCUGUCGUCAGCUCGUGUCGUGAGAUGUUGGGUUAAGUCCCGCAACGAGCGCAACCCUUGUCAUUAGUUGCCAUCAUUUAGUUGGGCACUCUAAUGAGACUGCCGGUGACAAGCCGGAGGAAGG